CAUGUCCAAGACUAGCCAUGCACGUCUAGUACUACUAAUGAUGGUGAACUGCAAAUGGCUCAUUACAACGGUUAUGAUGUACCCGGGAGUUCCGAUGGAUAUUUCCAGUAACACUAGAACUAAUACAUGUCCCUGCGUUUAUUAGUUUCGCACAGUCCGUCGCUGAGUCAUGGUAAACAGUUGAUCGACUCGACGUCCCGGAACAGUUUCCGCCCCAUCAGCUUCGAUGGUUGGGUAUUGGCCUACCAUUGCAACAACGGGUAACGAGGAAUUAGGGUUUGAUUUCGGAGAGGGAGCCUGAGAAACGGCUACCACAUCUACGGAUGGCAGCAGCGCGCAAAUUACCCAAUGCAGACACUGUGAAGUAGUGACGAGAAUAAUAAAGCGGGACUUCUGUUUCGCUAUUAUAAUGAGGAUAACCAAAGUCAUUCCGAUAGCAACUGAUGGGAAAGUCUGUGCCAGCAGCCGCGUAUACCAGCGUCAGUAGCAUAUAUAAAUGU
rnacentral:rRNA from 1 species